AAUGAACGUUGGCGGCGUGGAUUAGGCAUGCAAGUCGAGCGCGAUACCUCCUUCGGGAGGUGGAAAGCGGCGAAAGGGAGAGGAACACGUGGAUUAUCUACCCCUGGACCCAGGAUAGCUGCGGGAAACUGCAGGUAAUACUGGAUGAUGUCUCCGGACCAAAGGUGUGAUUCCGUCCAGGGAUGAGUUCGCGUCCUAUUAGCUAGUUGGCAGGGUAACGGCCUACCAAGGCGAUGAUGGGUACCGGGUGUGAGAGCAUGGCCCGGCUCACUGGGACUGAGACACUGCCCAGACACCUACGGGUGGCUGCAGUCGAGGAUCUUCGGCAAUGGGCGCAAGCCUGACCGAGCGACGCCGCGUGCGGGAUGAAGGCCUUCGGGUUGUAAACCGCUGUCAGAGGGGAUGAAAUGCGGGUGGGUUCUCCCAUUCGUUUGACAUAUCCUCAGAGGAAGUACGGGCUAAGUUCGUGCCAGCCGCCGCCGUAAAAC
rnacentral:rRNA from 1 species